rnacentral:rRNA from 1 species
UACGGAGGGUGCAAGCGUUAUCCGGAUUCACUGGGUUUAAAGGGUGCGUAGGUGGGCAGGUAAGUCAGUGGUGAAAUCUCCGGGCUUAACUCGGAAACUGCCAUUGAUACUAUCUGUCUUGAAUACCGUGGAGGUCAGCGGAAUAUGUCAUGUAGCGGUGAAAUGCUUAGAUAUGACAUAGAACACCAAUUGCGAAGGCAGCUCACUACGGAUAUAUUGACACUGAGGCACGAAAGCGUGGGGAUCAAACAGG